UGAAACACGGACCUGUCUAUCUACACCUCAUGUGUUAGGGUACUAAUUGGUGUUAUUUUUUCAUAUUCCUAUGUAUUUUUUAAACAUGUCUAAUCCGUCUAUCUACCCCUCGUGUAUUAGGGUACUAACUGGUGUUAUUUUUUAAAAUUUCUAGGUAUUUUUGAAACACGGACCUGUCUAUCUACACCUCAUGUGUUAGGGUACUAAUUGGUGUUAUUUUUUCAUAUUCCUAUGUAUUUUUUAAACAUGUCUAAUCCGUCUAUCUACCCCUCGUGUAUUAGGGUACUAACUGGUGUUAUUUUUUAAAAUUUCUAAGUAUUUUUUAAACACGUCUAACCUGUCUAUCUACACCUUGUCUAUCUACACCUCGUGUAUUAGGGUACUAAUGGUUGUUAUUUUUUAAAAUUUCUAGGUAUUUUUGAAACACGUCUAACCCAUCUAUCUACACCUCGUGUGUUAGGGUACUAAUUGGUGUUAUUUUUUAAAAUUCCCAUGUAUUUUUGAAACAUGUCUAACCUGUCUAUCUACACCUCAUGUAUUAGGGUACUAACAGGUGUUAUUUUUUAAAAUUUUUAGGAAUUUUUUAAACACGUCUAACCUGUCUAUCUACACCUUGUAUACUAGGGUACCACCAGUCGUUAUUUUUUUAAAUCCUAGGUAUUUUUGAAACACCUCUAACUCUUCUAUCUAUACCUCAUAUAUUAAGAUAUUUUUUAAACACGUUUAAUCUAUCUUUCUGCGCCUUACGUAUUAGGGUACUUACAGUUGUUACUUUU